AACGAACGCUGGCGGCAUGCCUAACACAUGCAAGUCGAACGGGACCUUCGGGUAAGGUUGCGCACGCGUGCGUCAAGCGUCGGACCCGUCCCUUAGGCUCGGAAUACCUCCCCGUAAGGGGUGCUAAUACCGGCUAAUGUCUUCGGACCAAAGAUUUAUCGCGUUUGGAUGGGCCCGCGUUCGAUUAGAUAUUUGGUAGGGUAGAAGCCUACCAAGGCGACGAUACAUAGCUGGUCUGAGAGCAGGAGCAGGGACACUGGGACUGCGACACGGCCCAGACUCGUACGGGAGGCAGCAGGGGGGAAUAUUGGACAAUCGGGGAAAGCAUGAGCCAGCAAUGCCGCGUGAGUGAUGAAGGCCUUAGGGUUGGAAAGCUCGUUUACCCGGGAUGAUAAUGACGGUACCGGGAGAAUAAGCACCGGCUAACUCCGUG
rnacentral:rRNA from 1 species